UUGAACGCUGGCGGCAUGCUUUACACAUGCAAGUCGAACGGUAACAGGUUAAGCUGACGAGUGGCGAACGGGUGAGUAAUGCAUCGGAACGUGCCCGAUCGAGGGGGAUAACGCAACGAAAGCUGCGCUAAUACCGCAUACGAUCUGAGGAUGAAAGCGGGGGACCGUAAGGCCUCGCGCGAUUGGAGCGGCUGAUGUCGGAUUAGCUGGUUGGUGGGGUAAAGGCCUACCAAGGCGACGAUCCGUAGCUGGUCUGAGAGGAUGAUCAGCCACACUGGGACUGAGACACGGUCCAGACUCCUACGGGAGGCAGCAGUGGGGAAUUUUGGACAAUGGGCGCAAGCCUGAUCCAGCCAUGCCGCGUGAGUGAAGAAGGCCUUCGGGUUGUAAAGCUCUUUCAGACGGAAAGAAAUCGGGCGGGUGAAUAGCCUGCCUGGAUGACGGUACUGUCAGAAGAAGCACCGGCUAACUACGU
rnacentral:rRNA from 1 species